GAACGAUGCUUUCGGGCAUAGUGGCGCACGGGUGCGUAACGCGUGGGAAUCUGCCCCUUGGUUCGGAAUAACAGUUAGAAAUGACUGCUAAUACCGGAUGACGACGUAAGUCCAAAGAUUUAUCGCCGAGGGAUGAGCCCGCGUAGGAUUAGCUAGUUGGUGUGGUAAAGGCGCACCAAGGCGACUUUUCCUUAGCUGGUCUGAGAGGAUGAUCAGCCACACUGGGACUGAGACACGGCCCAGACUCCUACGGGAGGCAGCAGUGGGGAAUAUUGGACAAUGGGCGCAAGCCUGAUCCAGCAAUGCCGCGUGAGUGAUGAAGGCCUUAGGGUUGUAAAGCUCUUUUACCCGGGGAUGAUAAUGACAGUACCGGGAGAAUAAGCCCCGGCUAACUCCGUG
rnacentral:rRNA from 1 species